CUCUCUCUCUCUCUCUCUCUCUCUCUCUCUCUCUCUCUCUAUAAAUAACCUGCACUUGACUUGCAAGAACACAAGGAGUGGAGGAUGGCAAGACUUCUCAACCUCUUCUUGGCACUUCUUCUUUGCACCAGCAGUGGGGGUCUCGCAGAGCCAUGCAGUUCAUCUGACAUCGCCGUGCGUCAGACGAGGACAGGAGGCACCGUGGAAGGGAAGCCGGAGUACGAGGUGUUGGUGACCAACACCUGCGAGUGCUCGCAGUCGCGGGUGCUCCUGCGGUGCUACGGCCUCAGCAGCGUCGAGCCGGUCAACCGCCGCGCCAUCAGGCCGGUGGACGAGGAGCGGUGCAUCGUCGGCGGUGGCCGACCGUUAACGAGGGGCGCUCCGAUCAGGUUCAAGUACGCCUGGAUGACUCCCCAGGACUUUCCUGUCAUCAGCACUCAGAUCCACUGCCAGUGAAGCUGAAGGGAAGCUUACAGACUUCUUAUACUUGAUGUCCUCCUCCUCCUCCUCUUCUUCUUUCGAAGGAUGAAGCCUUGUUCUUCUCUUUAGUGCUAGUGGAAAGUUCUCCUACAGAAUGCUAUCUCUUGUGCUUGCA